GCUUGCGGGGGAUUAGUGGCGAACGGGUGAGUAACACGUGAGUAACCUGCCCUUAACUCUGGGAUAAGCCUUGGAAACGGGGUCUAAUACUGGAUAUUGACUUUACCUCGCAUGGGGUUUUGUUGAAAGAUUUAUUGGUUUUGGAUGGACUCGCGGCCUAUCAGCUUGUUGGUGAGGUAAUGGCUCACCAAGGCGACGACGGGUAGCCGGCCUGAGAGGGUGACCGGCCACACUGGGACUGAGACACGGCCCAGACUCCUACGGGAGGCAGCAGUGGGGAAUAUUGCACAAUGGGCGAAAGCCUGAUGCAGCGACGCCGCGUGAGGGAUGACGGCCUUCGGGUUGUAAACCUCUUUCAGUAGGGAACAAGGCCAGCAUUUUUGUUGGUUGAGGGUACUUGCAGAAGAAGCGCCGGCUAACUACGUGCCAGCAGCCGCGGUAAUACGUAGGGCGCAAGCGUUAUCCGGAAUUAUUGGGCGUAAAGAGCUCGUAGGCGGUUUGUCGCGUCUGCCGUGAAAGUCCGGGGCUCAACUCCGGAUCUGCGGUGGGUACGGGCAGACUAGAGUGAUGUAGGGGAGACUGGAAUUCCUGGUGUAGCGGUGAAAUGCGCAGAUAUCAGGAGGAACACCGAUGGCGAAGGCAGGUCUCUGGGCAUUAACUGACGCUGAGGAGCGAAAGCAUGGGGAGCGAACAGGAUUAGAUACCCUGGUAGUCCAUGCCGUAAACGUUGGGCACUAGGUGUGGGGGACAUUCCACGUUUUCCGCGCCGUAGCUAACGCAUUAAGUGCCCCGCCUGGGGAGUACGGCCGCAAGGCU
rnacentral:rRNA from 1 species